GUUCCCAGUGAUGCUAUUUUUUGAACCAUGCUAAUGCUGAUUAUUAUUUGAUUGAAAAUCUUAAUUCGAUUCUUUUUCUGAGGGAACA